rnacentral:rRNA from 1 species
AUUGAACGCUGGCGGCAUGCUUUACACAUGCAAGUCGAACGGCAGCGCGGGCUUCGGCCUGGCGGCGAGUGGCGAACGGGUGAGUAAUACAUCGGAACGUGCCCAGUAGUGGGGGAUAGCGCGGCGAAAGCCGGAUUAAUACCGCAUACGACCUGAGGGUGAAAGCGGGGGAUCUUCGGACCUCGCGCUAUUGGAGCGGCCGAUGGCAGAUUAGCUAGUUGGUGGGGUAAAGGCCUACCAAGGCGACGAUCUGUAGCUGGUCUGAGAGGACGACCAGCCACACUGGGACUGAGACACGGCCCAGACUCCUACGGGAGGCAGCAGUGGGGAAUUUUGGACAAUGGGCGAAAGCCUGAUCCAGCAAUGCCGCGUGUGUGAUGAAGGCCUUCGGGUUGUAAAGCACUUUUGGCGGGAACGAAAAGGACUGUGCCAAUACCACGGUUCGAUGACGGUACCAGCAGAAUAAGCACCGGCUAACUACGUG